rnacentral:rRNA from 1 species
AGAGUUUGAUCCUGGCUCAGGACGAACGCUGGCGGCGUGCUUAACACAUGCAAGUCGAACGAUGAAAUCAUGACGGAGGCUUCGGCCAACUGAGUGAUGGAUUAGUGGCGGACGGGUGAGUAACGCGUGAGUAACCUGCCUUUCAGAGAGGAAUAACAUUUGGAAACGAAUGGUAAUACCACAUAACAUUACGAAGCCGCAUGACUUUGUAAUCAAAGAUUUAUCGCUGAGAGAUGGACUCGCGUCCGAUUAGCUAGAUGGUGAGGUAACGGCUCACCAUGGCGACGAUCGGUAGCCGGACUGAGAGGUUGAACGGCCACAUUGGGACUGAGACACGGCCCAGACUCCUACGGGAGGCAGCAGUGAGGAAUAUUGGACAAUGGAGGCAACUCUGAUCCAGCCAUGCCGCGUGAAGGACUAAGGCCCUAUGGGUCGUAAACUUCUUUUGACGCAGAGCAAUAAGGAUUACGUGUAGUCUGAUGAGAGUAUGCGUCGAAUAAGCAUCGGCUAACUCCGUGCCAGCAGCCGCGGUAAUACGGAGGAUGCAAGCGUUAUCCGGAUUUAUUGGGUUUAAAGGGUGCGUCGGUGGUUUCUUAAGUCACAGGCCACCGGCUACUGCUCAUCCGUAGUAAGCCUUUGAAACUGGGAAACUUGUGUGCCGGAGAGGAGAGUGGACUUCCUAGUGUAGCGGUGAAAUGCGUACAUAUUAAGGACGAACACCACUUGCGAACGCCGCUCUCUGGACUGUAUCUGACACUGAGGCCAGAAGGCGUGGGGAGCAAACAGGAUUUAGAUACCAUGGUCGUGCUCGCCGUGAAUGAGGAGUACUAGCUGUCGGAGGUUACCCCCUUCGGUGGCGCAGCUAACGCACUAAGUGCUCCGCGAUGGGAAGUACGCUCGCAAGAGUGAAACUCAAAGGAGUUGGCGGGGACCCGCACAAGUAGCGGAGCAUGUGGUUUAAUUCGCAGCAACGCGAAGACCCUUACAUAAGCUUGACAUCCUUUUGACCGACGCCUAAUCGCAUCUUUUCCUUCGGGGACAGAAGUGACAGGUGGUGCAUGGAAGAUAGUCAGCUCGUGUGGUGAGAGGUUGGGUUAAGUCCCGCAACGAGCGCAACCCUUGCCUUUAGUUGCCAGCAUUAAGUUGGGCACUGUAGAGGGACUCCCAGGGAUAACCUGGAGGAAGGUGGGGAUGACGUCAAAUCAUCAUGCCCCUUAUGCUUAGGGCUACACACGUGCUACAAUGGGUGGUACAGAGGGCAGCCAAGUCGUGAGGCGGAGCUAAUCCCUUAAAGCCAUUCUCAGUUCGGAUUGUUGGCUGAAACUCGCCUACAUGAAGGUGGAGUUACUAGUAAUCGCAGAUCAGAAUGUUGCGGUGAAUGCGUUCCCUGGGUCUUGCACACAC